rnacentral:rRNA from 1 species
GAUGAACGCUAGCGAUAGGCUUAACACAUGCAAGUCGAGGGGCAGCAUGGUCUUAGCUUGCUAAGACUGAUGGCGACCGGCGCACGGGUGCGUAACGCGUAUGCAACUUGCCUCACAGAGGGGGAUAACCCGUCGAAAGACGGACUAAUACCGCGUACACUUGGGAUAGGGCAUCCUGACCCAAGGAAAUGAAAUUCGCUGUGAGAUAGGCAUGCGUCCCAUUAGCUAGUUGGUGAGGUAACGGCUCACCAAGGCGACGAUGGGUAGGGGAACUGAGAGGUUGAACCCCCACACUGGUACUGAGACACGGACCAGACUCCUACGGGAGGCAGCAGUGAGGAAGAUUGGUCAAUGGGCGAGAGCCUGAACCAGCCAAGUCGCGUGAAGGAUGACUGUCUUAUGGAUGGUAAACUUCUUUUAUACGGGAAUAACAAGAGUCACGUGUGGCUCCCUGCAUGUACCGUAUGAAUAAGCAUCGGCUAACUCCGUG